rnacentral:rRNA from 1 species
AGGCAGCAGUGAGGAAUAUUGGUCAAUGGGCGCGAGCCUGAACCAGCCAAGUCGCGUGAGGGAGGACGGCCCUACGGGUUGUAAACCUCUUUUGCCGGGGAGCAACGGGCGUCACGUGUGGCGCCACUGAGAGUACCCGGAGAAAAAGCAUCGGCUAACUCCGUGCC